UACGGGGGGGGGCAAGCGUUGUUCGGAAUUACUGGGCGUAAAGGCUCGUAGGCGGCCAACUAAGUCAGACGUGAAAUCCCUCGGCUUAACCGGGGAACUGCAUCUGAUACUGGAUGGCUUGAGUUCGGGAGAGGGAUGCGGAAUUCCUGGUGUAGCGGUGGAAUGCGCAGAUAUCAGGAGGAACACCGAUGGCGAAGGCAGUUCUCUGGGCCUGACCUGACGCUGAGGAGCGAAAGCGUGGGGAGCGAACAGG
rnacentral:rRNA from 1 species